rnacentral:rRNA from 1 species
CAAUAGCGUAUAUUAAAGUUGUUGCAGUUAAAAAGCUCGUAGUUGGAUUUCUGGACGGAGCAGCUGGUCCGCCGCUGUGCGGUGUGUACUCGUGCUUGACUCGGUUCAUCCUUGUGGGGAAGCGCAUUUCGGCAUUCAGUUGUCGAGGCGGGGAACCACAUCAUUUACUGUGAAAAAAUUAGAGUGUUUAAAGCAGGCAUUUUGCUGUGAAUACAUUAGCAUGGAAUAAUAACAUAGGACUUUGAUUCUAUUUUGUUGGUUGGAGAUCAAGGUAAUGAUUAAUAGGGAUAGUUGGGGGUAUUCAUAUUUAAUUGUCAGAGGUGAAAUUCUUGGAUUUAUGAAAGAUGAACUCAUGCGAAAGCAUUUACCAAGGAUGUUUNCAUUA